CAAAAAUUGUUGCGAUAUAGCAUAUGAUUUGUCAUUUGAACGACAUAAAAACUCAAUGUUGACGAUUUCGAAUGGCAAUCAUCCAAAAAAUGGUGGAUUCAAGAUCGAAUGACUUCAUGUCUGUAUUGGAAUGAACAGUCUGUGAUAUUCGAAGGAUAGACAUAACGCCAUAUGAAUUAUUUGCACCCAAAAAAGUAAACGAUGGUGCUUAUUAUUAUCAUCUCAACUAACAGUAGUUGAUCAUUCGUGUUUCAUCUGUUUCCAGUGUUUGGGCUGGCUCGAAUGACAGUCAUUUGAAGCGCUUCAUGCGUUUGCGAGAUAAGUUUUUUCAUUAUUUCUGUGCAGUCGCAAAAAGUCAGUUCGCGAAAUCAAAACGUGAAAAAACUGCUGCUUGUCAUCUUCAAGACUAACGUACCCUAGAAAAAUUGCUUUGGAGCUGAUUUCCUGGUAUUGGGAGAGAAACUAGCGUCCGGAUCAAAGGAUUUAUUUGCAUAUUUUGGAGCAAUGCCACUGACAUGGUGUCUUUCAACAUACAGGGAAUAGCCGUUAUUUAGUGCAAAUAACUGGUCAAAGCCAUAGUAUGCAAGGCAAAGAGGGAGUACUGGAAAGGGAGUGAAAUAUACAAUAGGAUGGAUGCCAAAUAGCUGUCAAUUGAUGACUAUGUUGAUCGGAACUGUUAUUCUGGUGAAAUGGUGGCACUAACGAUUCAAUAUCGUACGGGAAUCACAGCCCUAGGAACCACGAGUCCCGAGAGAUUGUAGUUGCAGGUAUUCCUAUCCCAAGGUUUGGAAAAUUUCCACGCGACCGGCACUAGGUGAUGGCCAAAUCUACUGGUUUCACAUAGCCGUCUUAGUCCCUGAAUCAGAUUCGAGAGCUAGACGGAUCGCAUGAUAUGCAACAUGAGCCAAUGUUCGAUCUGCUUUGGUUCUAUCCCGAUGACCAUGGCGGCUGAACUACAUUGCCCCACAAUGCUGAUUACCUUUGGAAAUGUACAAUCAAUUAAACAAUCUGACGCAGGUAUUUCAGUUUUAUUAUGGAAGGGUUCAAUUUAUAGCAUUAAGCACUAUUUACACUUAUCCGAUCCGUUUCAGUUCCGUGCACGGACACCAAUAUUCUUUCAUACAAAUCAAAAGCGAGCAUUCACACUUGUCCGGCACGGCACCGUCCCGGACAAGUGUGCUCACAUUUGAAGCGUGUAAAAUAAUAUUGGCAUUCGUGCACGGUACUGAACCGUUGCCAAAGCGGAUCGGAAAGGUGUUACUUUGACUUUAUCGUUAUGUUGUUACAAUAUUCUCUGCACAAAAGUACACUAAAAAAAUCGAAACGAUAAUUCUAUUUGUUUCAAACCGCUUAAAAUUCAUAUGAAGAAGAAAUGCUAUUGUUAUCGAGCGCACACAUACCUUCUAUGUGUCAAUUGUAUAAACUAUGUAUGCACACACAUAAGUUAUAUGUGCAUAUUGUUAUAGAAUGGGGUUUUAUGUGCCUAAUAAUUAUGAAAUGUGAAUGUAAGAUUAAUAUUUAUUGUAAAUACACACAUUAGGUUUAUGUGCCAGUAAAUAGUGUCGUAAACGUAUGCUUCCGCAAUAGUGCAAAAAUCUAUAAACCAAUAGGCAUAACGUUUACUUUUUGAGUGUACUAUGAUUGUGGUUAAUAUACAGGUGGCAUUCAUGACACACGCCUGUUUACGAAUAUUUUGACGCAUGAGAAUUUUUUCAAAAAGACAUCUGCAAUGAGUUACUCUCUUUGUUUACUUUCUCUUUCGAUUUUUACGGUGUCACUAUAACGCUUUUCACUUAUUUUACAGUACAGAUCGAAAGACGGUGGUUUUAAGUAGCAUAUUAUGACCAGACUUGAGGGAUAAAUGUUAAAGUGACCGAAUUAUUAACAGAAGAGAAUAAAACACCAGCACCGCACAAACGUAAGAGAUUCUGUGAUGGACCAACGUUGCCGCAAGAGAACACUGGUAGCAAUAGGUUUGUUCCAGUACCAGGAGAAACUGGAAGUACUCCGGAGAAAACAGGGAGAAAAUCGUUCCUGUAUUAUCUUCUUUUCUUUUCCUUCUUUUGGUACCAAAUCGGAGUGAAAAGGAGCAAGAAUGUUUUGUUCCGGAGCAACAGGGAGUGACUUCCGUGUACUGGAACAAACCUAAUCAUUGUUAGCAGAAAGGAAACCACUCUUUUGCGCUCAAGCAAGAAACCAAGUCACCCAGCAAUUUUUAAUUUACCGUAAAACUUGAAGGCACUGAGCUAGAUCAGCAACCUCCCGGUGCGAUUGUUAAAAGUCGAUCAACGAUCCAGUAGAAUUACGCACUAGACAAGAGAAUAUGUCCGGAAUUACAAAUGCUGACUCAUCAGAAAAAUAUCUUUAAAAAAGCACUAGCUCGGAAACGGUAUCAAUCGAAACUAUGAAAAGUUUCGACUGACUCCGACGCAAAUUCCGGAAACUUUUCUUCGUUGAUUGCGCGAAUAUUAUAUUCUGGUACUGCUGGGUAAAUUUCACAUUGAAGAAUAAUUCCGUUGCUAGCUGCCAUGAUUCAGCAUCGAGAGAUAGAACCUAUAGUCGAGAUCGAACCAAGAGAGCAAGGCAAACCGUUGUCACUAAACGCCCUAGCACUAAACUAAAACAAGUUAUAUUACACAUUAGACAUAACUUUCUCCGCUGAAGGAAGGCAACAAAUUUUUACCGUUAAAUUUGAAUACUGCGUAAUUGUCUCUCUUCGUUUACUUUCGUAGUCACCGAUGUUACGUAACAUGUUUUAACUGAAGAAUUUUUUUUUUGAAGACUCACGUACCGGGGGAGUAGCGAUAAAAAAAGUUGUGGUUCAGCCGGAAAUGAACUAGAUUUCUGGCUGGUUCCAGUUCGUAUUCUGGCUCCAGUAACACAACCGAUUCUAAUUAGCCACUGAAGUCGGAAUACGAAUUGGAACCAGCCAGAAUUCCGGUUCAUUUCCGGCUGAGCUUAACUGGGUGCUAAAGCUGUAAGAUUGUCAUGAUGACAUUCACACAGAAAAAAAAAUGUUGGUAAAAAUAAGAGUUUUUCACUCUUAGCAAAAAAGAACCAACGCAUACUCUUAGUUUGAAAAUAAAACUUUUAUUUUGAAUACUAUUCUUCAUUAGCUUAAAAGGAAAACUUUUAUUUUGAUUAUUAUUCUUGAUUAAUUUAAAAGUUUUACUUUCAACCUGAUAGUAGGUGUUAGUUGUUUUUUGCUAAGAGCGGAACACUCUUACUUUUACCAAUAUUUUUUUUCUGUGUGUUGGUAACGAAACUAUAUUAAGCAAAGUGUCAAAAGUUUGAAUUCAAUGUGAGGUUUUUUUUAUACAACGGUAGCAUGUUACAAGCAUUUGGAUUGUGUUUUGAUGUUUUUAG